CACGUAGGGUGCGAGCGUUGUCCGGAAUUAUUGGGCGUAAAGAGCUCGUAGGCGGUGUGUCACGUCGGCCGUGAAAACCUGCAGCUUAACUGUGGGCGUGCGGUCGAUACGGGCAUCACUGGAGUUCGGCAGGGGAGACUGGAAUUCCUGGUGUAGCGGUGGAAUGCGCAGAUAUCAGGAGGAACACCGGUGGCGAAGGCGGGUCUCUGGGCCGUUACUGACGCUGGAGGAGCGAAAGCGUGGGGAGCGAACAGG
rnacentral:rRNA from 1 species